rnacentral:rRNA from 1 species
UACAGAGGUCUCGAGCGUUAGGCGGAAUCACUGGGCUUAAAGCGUGUGUAGGCGGGUCGUUAAGUGCCUUGUGGAAUCCCAUGGCUCAACCAUGGAACUGCUGGGCAUACUGGCGAUCUUGUGCAACCUAGGGGCGAGCGGAACAGAUGGUGGAGCGGUGAAAUGCGUAGAUAUCAUCUGGAACGCCAAUGGUGAAAACAGCUCGCUGGGGGUUUGCAGACGCUGAGACACGAAAGCCAGGGGGGCGAACGGG